AGUUCAAAACAGCAAAAGUAAAUGACUUGUAGAGCUUGGAUUAGCAUCAGAUGCAAUGACAAGUAACGGCACACGAGCAAACAGGAAAUUGAAUGGCAAAGCCAGAGGGGCAUCAGUGAACGUGCCAGGCUGCAAAGACUUCCUCAGAGGGAGGCACGAAAAGAAAGCAAAAUGCUGUCCAAGAUGCAAAUCUUUCUUCCUGUGCCUUCUGACAUGCUGAGACUGGAAUUUCACAGUAAUUUUAACUAGGUUUGGAUACUGCUGGAGAAGAUGUGAGGUUUCGCCACUAAGAUGGACACUGGUUGUGGAAAUGACUGAGCCAAGUCAUAAUUAAGUUAAAUAGGUUAGAGAAAUAUUGUAGUCUUCUAGAAAUCUCAUUGUUACUGCUGGUCCCCUCUGUUCCACCUUGUACAGCUGUUUGACAGAGCUUAGCAGCAGCGCUGUGUCCAGUCAUGCUGUUCAGGUAUGUUCUCGGCACCACUUCUUGCGUUUCCACUACCUGAUGUUGAAAGUUCAUUAAAGUGGCAAAGCCAAAUCC
rnacentral:lncRNA from 1 species